AGCGAACGCUGGCGGCAUGCUUAACACAUGCAAGUCGCACGGAUCGGGGCAACUCGGUCAGUGGCGGACGGGUGAGGAGCGCGUAGGAACGUGUCGUUGGGUGGGGAUAACCCUGGGAAACUGGGGCUAAUACCGCAUGAGGGCUGAGGCCCAAAGCAGAGAUGCGCCUGACGGUUGAGCGGCCUGCGUCCGAUUAGGUAGUUGGUGGGGUAAAAGCCUACCAAGCCUGCGAUCGGUAGCUGGUCUGAGAGGACGACCAGCCACACUGGGACUGAGACACGGGCCAGACUCCUACGGGAGGCAGCAGUGGGGAAUAUUGGACAAUGGGCGAAAGCCUGAUCCAGCAAUGCCGCGUGUGUGAAGAAGGUCUUCGGAGUGUAAAGCACUUUCGGCGGGGACGAUGAUGACGGUACCCGCAGAAGAAGCCCCGGCUAACUUCGUGCCAGCCGCCGCCGUAACAC
rnacentral:rRNA from 1 species